CACGUAGGGGGCAAGCGUUGUCCGGAUUUAUUGGGCGUAAAGAGCUCGUAGGUGGCUGAGUAAGUCGGACCUUAAAUCCCCAGGCUCAACCUGGGACACGGCCCGAUACUGCUCUGGCUAGAGUCCGGUAGGGGAGCAUGGAAUUCCUGGUGUAGCGGUGAAAUGCGCAGAUAUCAGGAGGAACACCAGCGGCGAAGGCGGUGCUCUGGGCCGGAACUGACACUGAGGAGCGAAAGCGUGGGUAGCAAAC
rnacentral:rRNA from 1 species